GUGACCCCAGGUCAGGCGGGACUACCC
rnacentral:rRNA from 39 species